rnacentral:rRNA from 1 species
UACGGGGGGGGGCAAGCGUUGUUCGGAAUUACUGGGCGUAAAGGGCUCGUAGGUGGCCAACUAAGUCAGACGUGAAAUCCCUCGGCUUAACCGGGGGAACUGCGUCUGGUAUGAUGUGCUUGGAGUUGGAGUGGGAGAGGACGUAGUCCGAAGUUCGAUGAUGUCGGUGGUAAGUGAAACUGGUCGAUGAGUAAUACUUCUGGGAAGGGAAACCACCCGGGGUUGGGC